UACGUAGGGGGCAAGCGUUGCUCGGAAUCACUGGGCGUAAAGCGCACGUAGGCGGCUUGUUAAGUCAGGGGUGAAAUCCUGGAGCUCAACUCCAGAACUGCCUUUGAUACUGGCGAGCUUGAGUCCGGGAGAGGUGAGUGGAACUGCGAGUGUAGAGGUGAAAUUCGUAGAUAUUCGCAAGAACACCAGUGGCGAAGGCGGCUCACUGGCCCGGUACUGACGCUGAGGCACGAAAGCGUGGGGAGCAAACAGG
rnacentral:rRNA from 1 species